GGAUUAGAUACCCUGGUAGUCCACGCCGUAAACGUUGAUCACUAGACGUUAGUUCUGGUUUUCCGGAAUUAGUGUCGAAGCUAACGCGAUAAGUGAUCCGCCUGGGGAGUACGGUCGCAAGGCUAAAACUCAAAGGAAUUGACGGGGGCCCGCACAAGCGGUGGAACAUGUGGUUUAAUUCGAUAAUACGCGAGGAAUCUUACCUAGGUUUGACAUGCUUUUGACAGUUGUAGAAACACAAUCUUCCAAGCUUCGGUUUGGACAAUUGCACAGGUGCUGCAUGGCUGUCGUCAGCUCGUGCCG
rnacentral:rRNA from 1 species